rnacentral:lncRNA from 1 species
CUGCCAUUAAAUGCUAGUGCUUAUAUUUAUUUAUUUAUUGUUUUUAUGCUUUUAGUCUGUUAUAUUUUAUGAUCUUCAAGUGAUUUGCUGAUUCCCCCGUUUCAAUGCACAUAGAGGCGCUUGCCACAUGAACUUUGACUCUGGAGGCUCACAAAUCAAAUAGUUUUGCUUUCAUUAUUUUGCAUGUUUUUUUGGUUUUUUUUUUCAUUUUUAUUUGGUAGUAUUUGCAUGAUGCUGUAUGAUUUUUUAUGUGAUAGUCGGUUAAAGAGCUCAC